UACGUAGGGGGCAAGCGUUGUCCGGAAUUAUUGGGCGUAAAGAGCGUGUAGGCGGUCCGGUAAGUCGGCUGUGAAAGUCCAGGGCUCAACCCUGGGAUGCCGGUCGAUACUGCCGGACUAGAGUUCGGAAGAGGCGAGUGGAAUUCCCGGUGUAGCGGUGAAAUGCGCAGAUAUCGGGAGGAACACCUAUGGCGAAGGCAGCUCGCUGGGACGUUACUGACGCUGAGACGCGAAAGCGCGGGGAGCAAACAGG
rnacentral:rRNA from 1 species